rnacentral:rRNA from 1 species
AUUGAACGCCGGCGGCAGGCCUAACACAUGCAAGUCGAGCGGAUGAAGGGAGCUUGCUCCUGGAUUCAGCGGCGGACGGGUGAGUAAUGCCUAGGAAUCUGCCUGGUAGUGGGGGAUAACGUCCGGAAACGGGCGCUAAUACCGCAUACGUCCUGAGGGAGAAAGUGGGGGAUCUUCGGACCUCACGCUAUCAGAUGAGCCUAGGUCGGAUUAGCUGGUUGGUGGGGUAAAGGCCUACCAAGGCGACGAUCCGUAACUGGUCUGAGAGGAUGAUCAGUCACACUGGAACUGAGACACGGUCCAGACUCCUACGGGAGGCAGCAGUGGGGAAUAUUGGACAAUGGGCGAAAGCCUGAUCCAGCCAUGCCGCGUGUGUGAAGAAGGUCUUCGGAUUGUAAAGCACUUUAAGUUGGGAGGAAGGGCAGUAAGUUAAUACCUUGCUGUUUUGACGUUACCAACAGAAUAAGCACCGGCUAACUUCGUG